rnacentral:lncRNA from 7 species
AAAGUGAGCAGUGUGGAGCUGGGGCAGCUGGAGGUAUGCAGGGCUGUGACUGUAGUUCUGAAAUGGUGACAGCCAUCUGUUUCCCUGGUGCAGCACAGGCCCUGUCAGUGGGUAAUGCUGAAAUGAGUGACUGGAGCGGGCAGGAUGUGCCAGCGCAUGGCUGGCUGCCGCCUGCCUUCCCCAAGCACAGGGACAGCUGCUCCCUCCCUUGAAUGGCUGGAGAGUGAUUUUUCCAUUCUCUUUUGCUGAAACUGGUCCUUGAUGGACUCAUCCCUCAUUUCACUGCAUCCCGAGUGUGCUGCUUGGAUACUGCUUUAGCAGUCCAAAGGAGAACGCAGCCAAAACGUGAAGUGGCACCGAAGCCAGAUUGGAGCAGCCUUGCCAGUCCUGCUGUGGUACCCUGACCUGUGCUGGCAGAGCUGUGGGCAAAGGGCACUGGUCCCCUCUGAGGCCGAAGCUCACUCUGACUUUCCCAGCCCCAGCUGGGUCUGCCCAAAGUCCAGUAAUGUGCUGUAGGGCAGGGACUGAGGCUUUGCUGAGCCACCCACCUCCUGCCAUGCUGCGGUGCCAGCUGCCACCUGAAGUGUUUUUACGAGCCCUUCUCGUGGAUCCCUGGCACUGGAACACCGUCUGCCCCUCACCUGUGCUCUGCUGCCUGCCACACUGGGGCUGCUUUCCCCUCUGUGCCUCAUCCCCAGGCAGCAGCAGACUGCCUUUCCAGCACAGACCAUGCUGCCCUUCACUAUUUCCUGCUAGCACAAGCCUGGAAGUUCCCCUAUUGGUGCCAGCAAACUGCUUUGUACUCCGUAGGUGGGAAAAUAUCUGUGAGACGGAUGAACACUUUGGAGAAAAAAAAUGGUUGUACAUUUUUUUCUGGUGACAGUGUCAGUAAAAGCAAC